AGUGAUUAAUGCCAAAGCCCUGUUGCCUGGGGAGAGGGUGAUGUUUGACUUUCUUGUACAGCUGCAGUUUGUGUGGUGAAGGUGCUCCCACAAUGUGGUUGGAUUCCACCAUUUGCCAAUAUGCGAUUUGAACAAGGACUUCAGUUGUACAUUUUAAUAUUCUGGAUAAAAGUUAAAUACAUUAGGAUACUACAGGUGGACAUUCAGAUGGUAAUCUCAGUCAUUGUAACACCAAACUUUGAUUGAAUUAGUCAGUUCAUCAGGACCUGGAUAUUCGCAUUGUGUGGUGCUAGAUGGUGAAGAUUUGCAGACUGAAAUCUCAAAAUCAUGUGCAGAUUGUGAUUAUGUUAACCAGCAUUUGAAGAACCAAAGAUAGAGAAUCACUUGGCCAAAAUCCUGCAACACUCUCCCUCACAGCAUUGUUGGUCUAUCUGCACCAAAUGGACUGUGAAUGGUUCAAGACAGCAGCUCACUCCCAUCUUCUCAAGGGUAACUAGAGAUGGGGAAUAAAUGCUGGCUGAGCCAGUGAUGCCCAUAUCCUGGAAAUGGGUUCUAUCUCUAGUUGCUGAAACCCAGUUGAUGUUACUGCAGGAUGAUGAGGGACGCUGAGUGCAUCCUCCAGGAGGCAGCACCAUCACAUUACCCCUGCCUACACCCACACAGGAACACCACAACGUCACUGGAACAAAAGGCAGUGAAGCCAAAGGAGGACUUAGAUAUAGUUCUUCGGGGUAAAGACAUGAAAGAGGAUUGGAACACAGCAGGAACAGGAGACUGAGCUGGAUGGUCAGCUGUUUCCCAUUGAAUGGUGGAGCAGGAUUGAAAGGCUGAAUGGUCUCCUCCUGCUGCUAUCUCCCAGGUAUGUAUGUAGCCAUGGAGCCCGGGAAGGAAGGAGUGGGCAGGGAUUCUCCAGGAGAUUGCACUUCCACAACAGGUUUCAGUGAGGGUAGGUUUGAUGGAUUUUAUUUAACAUUUAUCUUUAACACAAAGUUUGUAAAUUUUGGUUUUAAAAUGUUGUAAAAGUUUUUU